GUGUUCACUUCGGCAGCAUAUAUACUAAAAUUUGAAUGAUACAGAGAAGAUUAGCAUGGCCCCUGCACAAUGAUGACAGGUAAAUUCAUGAAGCGUUCCAUAUUUUU
ensembl:snRNA U6 U6 spliceosomal RNA